AGCGGAGGAAAAGAAACUAACAAGGAUUCCCCUAGUAACGGCGAGUGAAGAGGGAAGAGCUCAAAUUUGAAAGCUGGUACCUUCGGUAUCCGCGUUGUAACCUCGAGACACGUUUUCCGUGCGGCGCUAUGGACAAGUUCCUUGGAACAGGACAUCGUAGAGGGUGAAAAUCCCGUACUUGCCAUGGAUGUACCGUGCUUUGCGAUACGUGCUCUAAGAGUCGAGUUGUUUGGGAUUGCAGCUCAAAAUGGGUGGUAGACUCCAUCUAAAGCUAAAUAUCGGGGAGAGACCGAUAGCGAACAAGUACCGUGAGGGAAAGAUGAAAAGCACUUUGGAAAGAGAGUUAAAAGUACGUGAAAUUGUCGAAAGGGAAGCGCUUGAAGUCAGCCAUGCCGCUCAGGACUCAGCCUGGCUUUUGCUUGGUGUAUUUCCUGGGUAGCAAGUCAGCAUUGGUUUGGAUCGUCGGAGAAGCAUAGUCGGAAUGUGGCGCCCUCGGGCGUGUUAUAGCCUUCUAUUGGAUACGACGAUCUAGACCAAGGAACGCAGCGCGCCUUAUGGCGGGUCUUCGGACACCUUCACAC
rnacentral:rRNA from 1 species